GGUUAAAAAGCUCGUAGUUGGAUCUCGGCAAGUAGAGGGCGGUAUGCUUCGUAGCAUUACUGCCCUAUUACUUGUAGCUUUGCCAGAGGUUCCUGGGUGCUCUUAAUCGAGUGUCUAGGGAUGCUGGCAGGUUUACUUUGAAAAAAUUAGAGUGCUCAAAGCAGGCUAUUACGCUUGAAUAUUCGUGCAUGGAAUAAUAGAAUAGGAAGUUGUUUCUAUUUUGUUGGUUUUCGGUAAUCGACUUAAUGAUUAAUAGGGACAGUCGGGGGCAUUUGUAUUCAAACGACAGAGGUGAAAUUCUCGGACCGUUUGAAGACAAACUACUGCGAAAGCAUUUGCCAAGAAUGUUUUCAUUAAUCAAGAACGAAAGUUAGAGGUUCGAAGGCGAUUAGAUACCGCCCUAGUUCUAACCAUAAACGAUGCCAGCUAGCGAUCUGAGGACGUUUUUUUUGUAGACUCCUCAGGAAGCUUCCGGGAAACCAAAGCGUGUGGGUUCCGGGGGAAGUAUGGUUGCAAAGCUGAAACUUAAAGGAAUUGACGGAAGGGCACCACCAGGAGCGGAGCCUGCGGCUUAAUUUGACUCAACACGGGAAAUCUCACCAGGCCCGGACACUGGAAGGAUUGACAGAUUGAGAGCUCUUUCUUGAUUCGGUGGGGUGGUGGUGCAUGGCCGUUUCUUAGAUGGGUGG
rnacentral:rRNA from 1 species